AGGGUUUCAAGGUGGAGAAGAUUGGUUGCAUCUUCCCUCAAAGUGAAACCUUUGGAACAAUGCUUGGCCUGAGAAAAGGACCAAAGGGUUAAGGAGGUUUCCAUGAGUGACUAUCAGUUGAAUGGAAGGCUGAUUUUGCCAACGUUGGGAAUUAGUGAAAGAACAAAAAACGAGGUGUAUAUAUUGUUCACAAUAAAAUUUCCAUAAGUUGCUAUUUGCUUUACUCAUGGGAUGCCAAGGGACACAACACAUGAAGAAACAGUUGAUUAGAAAGAUUGGCAGGCUUUACUUAUAUGACAUUAUUUCCCCCAUUCGCCUUGCUUCCCACCACCUGAUAAGGUGCGUUUUAUUCGCUUUUAAUCUUACUUUAUAUUUCUUAUUAAGAUUAUUUUGUUUAGAUUUUAAAUAUUUUAUAGAACUCAUAAUCUGGUUAUAAAAUGUAACAUCAAUAUCACUAAUUCUUAAAUUAUUUAACAUUA